GCACUACGAAUGGUGGAAAUGUCA
rnacentral:siRNA from 1 species